UACGGAGGAUCCGAGCGUUGUCCGGAUUUACUGGGCGUAAAGGGAGCGUAGGUGGAUAUUUAAGUGGGAUGUGAAAUACCCGGGCUUAACCUGGGUGCUGCAUUCCAAACUGGAUAUCUAGAGUGCAGGAGAGGAAAGGAGAAUUCCUAGUGUAGCGGUGAAAUGCGUAGAGAUUAGGAAGAAUACCAGUGGCGAAGGCGCCUUUCUGGACUGUAACUGACACUGAGGCUCGAAAGCGUGGGGAGCAAAC
rnacentral:rRNA from 1 species